rnacentral:tRNA from 2 species
GACAAGGUGGCCGAGUGGUUAAGGCGAUGGACUGCUUAUUCAUUGUGCUCUGCACGCGUGGGUUCGAAUCCCAUCCUCGUCG